rnacentral:rRNA from 2 species
AGAGUUUGAUCAUGGCUCAGAGUGAACGCUGGCGGUAGGCCUAACACAUGCAAGUCGAACGGCAGCACAGGAGAGCUUGCUCUCUGGGUGGCGAGUGGCGGACGGGUGAGGAAUACAUCGGAAUCUACUCUGUCGUGGGGGAUAACGUAGGGAAACUUACGCUAAUACCGCAUACGACCUACGGGUGAAAGCAGGGGACCUUCGGGCCUUGCGCGAUUGAAUGAGCCGAUGUCGGAUUAGCUAGUUGGCGGGGUAAAGGCCCACCAAGGCGACGAUCCGUAGCUGGUCUGAGAGGAUGAUCAGCCACACUGGAACUGAGACACGGUCCAGACUCCUACGGGAGGCAGCAGUGGGGAAUAUUGGACAAUGGGCGCAAGCCUGAUCCAGCCAUACCGCGUGGGUGAAGAAGGCCUUCGGGUUGUAAAGCCCUUUUGUUGGGAAAGAAAUCCAGCUGGCUAAUACCCGGUUGGGAUGACGGUACCCAAAGAAUAAGCACCGGCUAACUUCGUGCCAGCAGCCGCGGUAAUACGAAGGGUGCAAGCGUUACUCGGAAUUACUGGGCGUAAAGCGUGCGUAGGUGGUUCGUUAAGUCUGAUGUGAAAGCCCUGGGCUCAACCUGGGAAUGGCAUUGGAUACUGGCGGGCUAGAGUGCGGUAGAGGGUAGUGGAAUUCCCGGUGUAGCAGUGAAAUGCGUAGAGAUCGGGAGGAACAUCUGUGGCGAAGGCGACUGCCUGGACC